AGCCAAUUAGUUAUAGGAAUAACGUGUGUUUUGAAAGCACAAUGAAGAGGUUGGAUUCCUCUAUUGGCUU
rnacentral:tRNA from 1 species